GGGACACGUGGUAUCCUGUCUGAAUAUGGGGGGACCAUCCUCCAAGGCUAAAUACUCCUGACUGACCGAUAGUGAACCAGUACCGUGAGGGAAAGGCGAAAAGAACCCCGGCGAGGGGAGUGAAAAAGAACCUGAAACCGUGUACGUACAAGCAGUGGGAGCACCUUCGGGUGUGACUGCGUACCUUUUGUAUAAUGGGUCAGCGACUUAUAUUCUGUAGCAAGGUUAACCGUAUAGGGGAGCCGCAGGGAAACCGAGUCUUAACUGGGCGUUAAGUUGCAGGGUAUAGACCCGAAACCCGGUGAUCUAGCCAUGGGCAGGUUGAAGGUUGGGUAACACUAACUGGAGGACCGAACCGACUAAUGUUGAAAAAUUAGCGGAUGACUUGUGGCUGGGGGUGAAAGGCCAAUCAAACCGGGAGAUAGCUGGUUCUCCCCGAAAGCUAUUUAGGUAGCGCCUCGUGAAUUCAUCUUCGGGGGUAGAGCACUGUUUCGGCUAGGGGGUCAUCCCGACUUACCAACCCGAUGCAAACUACGAAUACCGAAGAAUGUUAUCACGGGAGACACACGGCGGGUGCUAACGUCCGUCGUGAAGAGGGAAACAACCCAGACCGCCAGCUAAGGUCCCAAAGUCAUGGUUAAGUGGGAAACGAUGUGGGAAGGCACAGACAGCCAGGAUGUUGGCUUAGAAGCAGCCAUCAUUUAAAGAAAGCGUAAUAGCUCACUGGUCGAGUCGGCCUGCGCGGAAGAUGUAACGGGGCUAAACCAUGCACCGAAGCUGCGGCAGCGACACUAUGUGUUGUUGGGUAGGGGAGCGUUCUGUAAGCCUGCGAAGGUGACCUGUGAGGGUUGCUGGAGGUAUCAGAAGUGCGAAUGCUGACAUAAGUAACGAUAAAGCGGGUGAAAAGCCCGCUCGCCGGAAGACCAAGGGUUCCUG
rnacentral:rRNA from 1 species